rnacentral:rRNA from 1 species
UACGUAGGGGGGCUAGCGUUAUCCGGAUUCACUGGGUUUAAAGGGUGCGUAGGCGGGUAAGUAAGUCCGUGGUGAAAUCUCUGAGCUUAACUCAGAAACUGCCGUGGAUACUAUUUGCCUUGAAUAUUGUGGAGGUGAGCGGAAUAUGUCAUGUAGCGGUGAAAUGCUUAGAUAUGACAUAGAACACCAAUUGCGAAGGCAGCUCACUACACAAUCAUUGACGCUGAGGCACGAAAGCGUGGGGAUCAAACAGG